GACGAACGUUGGCGGCGUGCUUAACACAUGCAAGUCGAACGGAAAGGCCCUGCUUUUGUGGGGUGCUCGAGUGGCGAACGGGUGAGUAACACGUGAGUAACCUGCCCUUGACUUUGGGAUAACUUCAGGAAACUGGGGCUAAUACCGGAUAGGAGCUCCUGCUGCAUGGUGGGGGUUGGAAAGUUUCGGCGGUUGGGGAUGGACUCGCGGCUUAUCAGCUUGUUGGUGGGGUAGUGGCUUACCAAGGCUUUGACGGGUAGCCGGCCUGAGAGGGUGACCGGCCACAUUGGGACUGAGAUACGGCCCAGACUCCUACGGGAGGCAGCAGUGGGGAAUAUUGCACAAUGGGCGGAAGCCUGAUGCAGCAACGCCGCGUGCGGGAUGACGGCCUUCGGGUUGUAAACCGCUUUCGCCUGUGACGAAGCGUGAGUGACGGUAAUGGGUAAAGAAGCACCGGCUAACUACGUGCCAGCAGCCGCGGUGAUACGUAGGGUGCGAGCGUUGUCAGGAUUUAUUGGGCGUAAAGGGCUCGUAGGUGGUUGAUCGCGUCGGAAGUGUAAUCUUGGGGCUUAACCCUGAGCGUGCUUUCGAUACGGGUUGACUUGAGGAAGGUAGGGGAGAAUGGAAUUCCUGGUGGAGCGGUGGAAUGCGCAGAUAUCAGGAGGAACACCAGUGGCGAAGGCGGUUCUCUGGGCCUUUCCUGACGCUGAGGAGCGAAAGCGUGGGGAGCGAACAGGCUUAGAUACCCUGGUAGUCCACGCUGUAAACGGUGGGUACUAGGUGUGGGGUCCAUUCCACGGGUUCCGUGCCGUAGCUAACGCUUUAAGUACCCCGCCUGGGGAGUACGGCCGCAAGGCUAAAACUCAAAGGAAUUGACGGGGCCCCGCACAAGCGGCGGAGCAUGCGGAUUAAUUCGAUGCAACGCGUAGAACCUUACCUGGGUUUGACAUGGAUCGGGAGUGCUCAGAGAUGGGUGUGCCUCUUUUGGGGUCGGUUCACAGGUGGUGCAUGGCUGUCGUCAGCUCGUGUCGUGAGAUGUUGGGUUAAGUCCCGCAACGAGCGCAACCCUUGUUCACUGUUGCCAGCACGUUAUGGUGGGGACUCAGUGGAGACCGCCGGGGUCAACUCGGAGGAAGGUGGGGAUGACGUCAAGUCAUCAUGCCCCUUAUGUCCAGGGCUUCACGCAUGCUACAAUGGCUGGUACAGAGAGUGGCGAGCCUGUGAGGGUGAGCGAAUCUCGGAAAGCCGGUCUCAGUUCGGAUUGGGGUCUGCAACUCGACCUCAUGAAGUCGGAGUCGCUAGUAAUCGCAGAUCAGCAACGCUGCGGUGAAUACGUUCCCGGGGCU
rnacentral:rRNA from 1 species